CUACGGGGCGCACCAGUGGGGAAUAUUGCACAAUGGGCGCAAGCCUGAUGCAGCCAUGCCGCGUGUAUGAAGAAGGCCUUCGGGUUGUAAAGUACUUUCAGCGGGGAGGAAGGGAGUAAAGUUAAUACCUUUGCUCAUUGACGUUACCCGCAGAAGAAGCACCGGCUAACUCCGUGCCAGCAGCCGCGGUAAUACGGAGGGUGGAAGCGUUAAUCGGAAUUACUGGGCGUAAAGCGCACGCAGGCGGUUUGUUAAGUCAGAUGUGAAAUCCCCGGGCUCAACCUGGGAACUGCAUCUGAUACUGGCAAGCUUGAGUCUCGUAGAGGGGGGUAGAGUUCCAGGUGUAGCGGUGAAAUGCGUAGAGAUCUGGAGGAAUACCGGUGGCGAAGGCGGCCCCCUGGACGAAGACUGACGCUCAGGUGCGAAAGCGUGGGGAGCAAACAGGAUUAGAUACCCCUGUAGUC
rnacentral:rRNA from 1 species